rnacentral:rRNA from 1 species
AUGUUGUUUGGACAGGCUGAGAAGAGGAAGCGCAAAGCACAAUAUUCUGUUGCUAUGAAGAGGAAGGAGGCUGAACGGACAAGAAGAAAGAUGGCUGCUGCGGCAAGAGACCGGGCAUGGGUGGGAAAGCGCAGAGCUAAAUCAGAUUGA